GUGCCCACUUUGGCAGCACAUGUACUAAAAUUGAAAUUAUGCAGAGAAGAUUAGCAUGAACCCUGCACAGGGAUGCCACACAAAUUUGUGAGUUGUUCCAUGCUAUG